GUCUCUCCUUUUUCUCCUCGGCUUUUCUCGGGCUUUCUGAAAAGAGCACCUGCAUAUUCCCAGGAAAUUUUGGCUCCUGAUGGCAUGGGGGAGGAUCACAUUCAUCUUCCAGGAGAGAUGGAGAUAUCUUGAUCAAAUUGUGUUUUAUGCAAGAGGCGAGGGGCUGCGAAGGGAGGAUCUCGGGCAGCUCAGCGCGCUGCCGCUCCGGCGCGAGGCCGGGGUCGAGCGCUUCAGUAGCUCAUGGCUCUGUAGAGUGCGCAUGGCCAAGCAAAGGAAAGCAUGCUCCAGUGGCGCAAUCGGUUAGCGCGCGGUACUUAUACAACAGUAUAUGUGCGGGUGAUGCCGAGGUUGUGAGUUCGAGCCUCACCUGGAGCAUGUUUUCUUCCAAUUGCGAUUUCAGACAUUUCACGAUAAUGCAUUUUUCCCUUAUCUUUAAAGUAAAAAGCUAAAAUGGAUAAAUUUUCCAUGGUGAGCCCAUAAAAAUUCCUUUGAUCAAGGAGGGAUAUUUGGCAGAUUUCAGAGAAGGGAAGAAAUCCAGCAAGACCCAAAUUGAACUCAUCCAGCAAACUCAUUUCUCCUCAGUCAGAAGGCCUCACAGCCAGGCUGUACAGCUUCAAUGAAGCUUCCUCCCUCCCUUGCUCCUCCACUUAAAAACUAUUCUUCAGCUCUUUGGGGACUGAGCAAGGAGGUGGAAAAACUGGGUUUUAUUCUCUGUGAUUUGUGUAGCUGUCACCGGGGUUCAUCAAUGUGCAG
rnacentral:tRNA from 10 species